CCCUUUGGGUGUGACUGCGUACCUUUUGUAUAAUGGGUCAGCGACUUAUAUUCUGUAGCAAGGUUAACCGAAUAGGGGAGCCGGAGGGAAACCGAGUCUUAACCGGGCGUUAAGUUGCAGGGUAUAGACCCGAAACCCGGUGAUCUAGCCAUGGGCAGGUUGAAGGUUGGGUAACACUAACUGGAGGACCGAACCGACUAAUGUUGAAAAAUUAGCGGAUGACCUGUGGCUGGGGGUGAAAGGCCAAUCAAACCGGGAGAUAGCUGGUUCUCCCCGAAAGCUAUUUAGGUAGCGCCUCGUGAAUUCAUCUCCGGGGGUAGAGCACUGUUUCGGCUAGGGGGCCAUCCCGGCUUACCAACCCGAUGCAAACUGCGAAUACCGGAGAAUGUUAUCACGGGAGACACACGGCGGGUGCUAACGUCCGUCGUGAAGAGGGAAACAACCCAGACCGCCAGCUAAGGUCCCAAAGUCAUGGUUAAGUGGGAAACGAUGUGGGAAGGCCCAGACAGCCAGGAUGUUGGCUUAGAAGCAGCCAUCAUUUAAAGAAAGCGUAAUAGCUCACUGGUCGAGUCGGCCUGCGCGGAAGAUGUAACGGGGCUAAACCAUGCACCGAAGCUGCGGCAGCGACACUGUGUGUUGUUGGGUA
rnacentral:rRNA from 4 species